ACAGCGCCAGCCGCCCACCACCAACAAUGCCAAAAUCCCCUCCCUCUCUUGGUCUUUCCUAUAUAGCCGCAGGAGAGGGCGGGGGAUCGGAGCAGGUGAUAGGGGGGAAAAUCGGGAAGCCUUCGGAGAAAAGAAAAGGGCAACCGAGACCGUGAGAGAGGGGAAGCGGGGAGCCUUGUCCGAUCCGGUGCAGCCCGCGCGUCAAACUCCCGGAUAACUGUGGCAUAUGAUCCCAAAUCUUGAUCCACUUGAAGUGUUCAGUACAUUCUGUAGGUUAGUACCAACCUUUUGUGUAAAUGUCAAAUGAACAUAUUAAUUAUGUGCUUCAGGUCUCUGUUUUUUUCUUGAUCU
rnacentral:lncRNA from 1 species